CAGUCGUACCGGCGGAUAAUCAGCCUUUCGGGUGCGAUUCUGUGGGGCGUGAGGAGCUUAACCGCCUUCAUGUUUUACGUAUUCGUGCUCUUGGGUGUACUUGCCCGUGUGGUGGGUUAACAUCAAUUUCGGUCGUCAUAAAAUGAUUGGAGGAAUGUAGCUUUGGUCUCGUAUCGAAGUGUUAUAGACUCUGGUAGAUGUGACGGUUGGGAUUGGAGGAUUGCAACGGAUACCCGUUCGGGGCCUACCCGGUCUGAUCUCUGAAGGUUGC
rnacentral:rRNA from 1 species